rfam:Rhodopseudomonas palustris BisB5, complete genome.
GCUCGAGGACGACCUCCCAAUCACCCUUUCGGCCGGGACGACCCGG